rnacentral:lncRNA from 1 species
GUAUUUAUUUGACUUUCUGUUGUUAAAAUGAUUUCUACAGCACUGCGGUUAUUUACGACUACUGUCAGUACGAGGCGAUGAGAAGGCGGCAUUGGAGGAAAACAACAACAGCUGUAGGACGGGCUGCCGGGCCGCGCGUCUCGCUCGCCGGGUUCCUGCGCACCAGGGCCCAGGCGAGGCCUCUCCUGCAAAUCUGUCACGAGGCCACUGUACCAAUGACCAGCCAGGACUCGGAGAGGCCGAGCUACAAGCCAAGGUCACACAGCGAGCAACCAGCCAGGUGGGAAUCCAUUUCAUCUAGGCCCAGGCCCA